UACGGAGAAGGCAAGCGUUAUCCGGAUUCACUGGGUUUAAAGGGUGCGUAGGAGGGCAGGUAAGUCAGUGGUGAAAUCUUCGAGCUUAACUCGGAAACUGCCGUUGAUACUAUCUGUCUUGAAUACCGUGGAGGUGAGCGGAAUAUGUCAUGUAGCGGUGAAAUGCUUAGAUAUGACAUAGAACACCAAUUGCGAAGGCAGCUCACUACGCGAAUAUUGACUCUGAUGCACGAAAGCGUGGGGAUCAAACAGG
rnacentral:misc_RNA from 1 species